UUGUUGGUCAGCAACUAUUCUGUCGUUCAUUUCGUUUAGCGACUCGUAAUUUGCAUAUGUUUGCGCAUCGCACAUGUUUCGCGUGCGCAGGUGUGAGUGAUUCUAUUUGGUAAAAUAGGCUUGGUAUAAUUAAUUUUGUGUUGUCUCAUUUGAGUUAGGUAUGUUGAUACAGCUGAGCCACCGCUAGGGCUGCCGUUUACCCCGUCUUUUCGCCAUAGGAGCCUUUGUGAAGCGGUACAACGUUGUUCCAGUUUCCGCACGCUCGGAGCAGAGCCCGACCUUUUUUUUAUCAAGAAAGAGUCGGAGGCUUCAACUUAUCACUGGUAGCUCUAUGGUUAGGUUCGGCGAUUCUGGGCAUUGCAUUUAGUGGACCAGCCAGCAUUCAGCAACCCGAAAAGCUGAGGGACCAGGCCUCAAGACGCUCGGACAGCUGUCAACCACUGCGGCAGUUUUCCUAAGGAAGCAUUCAGUACAACGCGCGUGGGUGUGAUGCGAGGACGUCUGAAAAUACCACCUCAAGUUCAGCAACUUAGACCCACCAGCCAGCUGAGAAGUACACGCAACAAACCAUAUGGGAGGACGGCGUACAGGCAGGGAUGGUGGCCAAGCAAAGGGAUCAAGAAGUUUAAAACCAGACUUAAAAUUCAGAAACAGAGAGACAACAGCCCCAGAAUUUUUUACUCUCUCGUACGUUCGAAUUGUGACCUGAACUUCCAUUUUGCCUUAAAGUAACAGAAUAUGUUAGAGGGCGUCUGUUAAACGCUUUCUUCGUAAAAAAA